AACGUAGGAUCCGAGCGUUAUCCGAAUUCACUGGGCGUAAAGCGCGUGCAGGCGGUUCGGUAAGUUGGAUGUAAAAACUCCUGGCUCAACUGGGAGGGGACGUUCAAUACUGUCGGACUAGAGGACGGCAGAGGAAGGUGGAAUUCCCGGUGUAGUGGUGAAAUGCGUAGAUAUCGGGAGGAACACCAGUGGCGAAGGCGGCCUUCUGGGCCGUACCUGACGCUCAGACGCGAAAGCUAGGGGAGCAAACGGG
rnacentral:rRNA from 1 species